GACGAACGCUGGCGGCGUGCUUAACACAUGCAAGUCGAACGGUAAGGCCCUUCGGGGUACACGAGUGGCGAACGGGUGAGUAACACGUGGGUGAUCUGCCCUGCACUUCGGGAUAAGCCUGGGAAACUGGGUCUAAUACCGGAUAGGACCACUGCCUGCAUGGGUGGUGGUGGAAAGCUUUUGCGGUGUGGGAUGGGCCCGCGGCCUAUCAGCUUGUUGGUGGGGUGAUGGCCUACCAAGGCGACGACGGGUAGCCGGCCUGAGAGGGUGACCGGCCACACGGGGACUGAGAUAAGGCCCAGACUCCGACGGGAGGCAGCAGUGGGGAAUAUUGCACAAUGGGCGCAAGCCUGAUGCAGCGACGCCGCGUGAGGGAUGACGGCCGUCGGGUUGUAAACCUCUUUCAGCACCGACGAAGCGCAAGUGACGGUAGGUGCAGAAGAAGGACCGGCCAACUACGUGCCAGCCGCCGCGGUAA
rnacentral:rRNA from 1 species